rnacentral:rRNA from 1 species
GGUAUACUUAAUGUGCAGAAUGAGUCUUUGAGUGAAAAGUAUUUGGGUCUGCCGACCGAUGUUGGACAGUCCAAAAAUGGCACCUUCAAAUAUUUACGAGACAGAGUUUGGGAAAGGAUA